GACGAACGCUGGCGGCGUGCUUAACACAUGCAAGUCGAACGGAAAGGCCCUGCUUUUGUGGGGUGCUCGAGUGGCGAACGGGUGAGUAACACGUGAGUAACCUGCCCUUGACUUUGGGAUAACUUCAGGAAACUGGGGCUAAUACCGGAUAGGAGCUCCUGCUGCAUGGUGGGGGUUGGAAAGUUUCGGCGGUUGGGGAUGGACUCGCGGCUUAUCAGCUUGUUGGUGGGGUAGUGGCUUACCAAGGCUUUGACGGGUAGCCGGCCUGAGAGGGUGACCGGCGGGAUUGGGACUGAGAGACGGCCCGGACGACGACGGGAGGCAGCAGGGGGGGGUAGUGCGGACUGGGGGGAAGCCGGAGGCAGCAGUGGCGCGUGCGGGAGGAUGGCUGUCGGGAGGGAAACCGGAUGCGCCGGUGACGAAGCGUGAGUGAGGGUAAUGGAUAAAGAAGCCCCCGCUCACCCCGUG
rnacentral:rRNA from 1 species